rnacentral:rRNA from 1 species
AGAGUUUGAUUAUGGCUCAGGAUGAACGCUAGCGAUAGGCCUAACACAUGCAAGUCGAGGGGCAGCACAUGAAGUAGCAAUACGGAUGGUGGCGACCGGCGCACGGGUGAGUAACGCGUAUGCAACCUGCCUACAACAGGGGAAUAACCCGUUGAGAGACGGACUAAUACCCCAUAACACAGGGAUCCCGCAUGGGAAUAUUUGUUAAAGAUUUAUCGGUUGUAGAUGGGCAUGCGUUCCAUUAGCUUGUUGGUGAGGUAACGGCUCACCAAGGCAACGAUGGAUAGGGGAACUGAGAGGUUUAUCCCCCACACUGGUACUGAGACACGGACCAGACUCCUACGGGAGGCAGCAGUGAGGAAUAUUGGUCAAUGGACGCAAGUCUGAACCAGCCACGUCGCGUGAAGGAAGACGGCCCUACGGGUUGUAAACUUCUUUUGUAAGGGAAUAAAGUGUAGUACGUGUACUAUUUUGCAUGUACCUUACGAAUAAGGAUCGGCUAACUCCGUGCCAGCAGCCGCGGUAAUACGGAGGAUCCGAGCGUUAUCCGGAUUUAUUGGGUUUAAAGGGUGCGCAGGCGGGAGAUUAAGUCGGCGGUGAAAUUUUGCAGCUCAACUGUAAAAGUGCCUUCGAAACUGGUUUCCUUGAGUGUGGAUGAAGUAGGCGGAAUUUGUGGUGUAGCGGUGAAAUGCAUAGAUAUCACGAGGAACUCCGAUUGCGCAGGCAGCUUACUAAACCAUAACUGACGCUCAGGCACGAAGGCGUGGGGAUCAAACAGGAUUAGAUACCCUGGUAGUC